rnacentral:rRNA from 1 species
GCCAAGUCGGACGGCAGCACAGAGAAGCUUGCUUCUUGGGUGGCGAGUGGCGAACGGGUGAGUAAUAUGUCGGAACGUACCGAGUAAUGGGGGAUAACUAAUCGAAAGAUUAGCUAAUACCGCAUAUUCUCUGAGGAGGAAAGCAGGGGACCUUCGGGCCUUGCGUUAUUCGAGCGGCCGAUAUCUGAUUAGCUAGUUGGUGGGGUAAAGGCCUACCAAGGCGACGAUCAGUAGCGGGUCUGAGAGGAUGAUCCGCCACACUGGGACUGAGACACGGCCCAGACUCCUACGGGAGGCAGCAGUGGGGAAUUUUGGACAAUGGGCGCAAGCCUGAUCCAGCCAUGCCGCGUGUCUGAAGAAGGCCUUCGGGUUGUAAAGGACUUUUGUCAGGGAAGAAAAGGCUGUUGCUAAUACCGACAGCUGAUGACGGUACCUGAAGAAUAAGCACCGGCUAACUACGUGCCAGCAGCCGCGGUAAUACGUAGGGUGCGAGCGUUAAUCGGAAUUACUGGGCGUAAAGCGAGCGCAGACGGUUACUUAAGCAGGAUGUGAAAUCCCCGGGCUCAACCUGGGAACUGCGUUCUGAACUGGGUGACUAGAGUGUGUCAGAGGGAGGUAGAAUUCCACGUGUAGCAGUGAAAUGCGUAGAGAUGUGGAGGAAUACCGAUGGCGAAGGCA